rnacentral:rRNA from 1 species
UACGGGGGGGGCAAGCGUUGUUCGGAAUUACUGGGCGUAAAGGGCUCGUAGGCGGCCAACUAAGUCAUACGUGAAAUCCCUCGGCUUAACCGGGGAACUGCGUCUGAUACUGGUUGGCUUGAGUGCAGGAGAGGAACGCGGAAUUCCAGGUGUAGCGGUGAAAUGCGUAGAUAUCUGGAGGAACACCGGUGGCGAAGGCGGCGUUCUGGACUGCAACUGACACUGAGGAACGAAAGCCAGGGGAGCAAACGGG